GGCCUGAUAGUUCAGUGGUAGAAUUCUUGCUUUGGGUUGUCAAAUCUAAAUUGUAAGAGGUCUCCGGUUCGAUCCCGGAUUAGGCCC
rnacentral:tRNA from 1 species